CCUACGGGUGGCAGCAGUGAGGAAUAUUGGUCAAUGGGCGCGAGCCUGAACCAGCCAAGUCGCGUGAAGGAAGACGGCCCUAUGGUUUGUAAACUUCUUUUAUAUGGGAGUAAAAUGAGCAACGUGUUCCGUUUUGUAUGUACCAUAUGAAAAAGCAUCGGCUAACUCCGUGCCAGCGGCCGCGGUAAUACGGAGGAGGCGAGCGGUAUCCGGAUUUAUUGGGUUUAAAGGGUGCGUAGGUGGUUAAUUAAGUCCGGGGUGAAAGUUUGCGGCUCAACCAGAAAAGUGCCGUUGAAACUGGUUGACUUGAGUAUAGUAGAGGUAGGCGGAAUGCGUGGUGUAGCGGUGAAAUGCAUAGAUAUCACGCAGAACUCCGAUUGCGAAGGCAGCUUACUAAACUAUAACUGACGCUGAGGCACGAAAGCGUGGGGAUCAAACAGGAUUAGAUACCCGUGUAGUC
rnacentral:rRNA from 1 species